AUACGGAGGAUCCGAGCGUUAUCCGGAUUUAUUGGGUUUAAAGGGUGCGCUGGCGGCCAUUUAAGUCAGCGGUUAAAUCGUGGGGCUCAACCCCAUUCUGCCGUUGAUACUGGGUGGCUUGAUUGCGGUCGAGGUUGGCGGAAUUCGUUGUGUAGCGGUGAAAUGCAUAGAUAUGACGAAGAACACCGAUUGCGUAGGCAGCUGACCAGACCGCAAAUGACGCUCAUGCACGAAAGUGCGGGGAUCGAACAGGAUUAGAUACCCUGGUAGUCCGCACAGUAAACGAUGAAUACUUGUUUUCGGCGAUAUAAUGUCGGAGGCAAAGCGAAAGCGAUAAGUAUUCCACCUGGGGAGUACGCCGGCAACGGUG
rnacentral:rRNA from 1 species